GGGGGCCCCGCCCAAGCGGUGGAGCAUGUGGUUUAAUUCGAAGCAACGCGAAGAACCUUACCAAGGCUUGACAUCCCGAUGACCGCUGUAGAGAUACAGCUUCUCUUCGGAGCAACGGUGACAGGUGGUGCAUGGUUGUCGUCAGCUCGUGUCGUGAGAUGUUGGGUUAAGUCCCGCAACGAGCGCAACCCUUAUCCUUAGUAGCCAUCAUUGAGUUGGGCACUCUAGGGAGACUGCCGUGGAUAACACGGAGGAAGGUGGGGAUGACGUCAAAUCAUCAUGCCCCUUAUGUCUUGGGCUACACACGUGCUACAAUGGCUGGUAACAAAGUGAAGCGAGACGGCGACGUUAAGCAAAUCACAAAAACCCAGUCCCAGUUCGGAUUGUAGUCUGCAACUCGACUACAUGAAGCUGGAAUCGCUAGUAAUCGCGAAUCAGAAUGUCGCGGUGAAUACGUUCCCGGGCCUUGUACUCACCGCCCGUC
rnacentral:rRNA from 1 species